rnacentral:rRNA from 1 species
UACGUAGGGGGCAAGCGUUGUCCGGAAUCAUUGGGCGUAAAGCGCGUGUAGGCGGCUCGGUAAGUCCGCUGUGAAAGUCCAGGGCUCAACCCUGGGAUGCCGGUGGAUACUGUCGAGCUCGAGUCCGGAAGAGGAGUGUGGAAUUCCUGGUGUAGCGGUGAAAUGCGCAGAUAUCAGGAGGAACACCAAUGGCGAAGGCAGCACUCUGGGACGUGACUGACGCUGAGACGCGAAAGCGUGGGGAGCAAACAGG